rnacentral:rRNA from 1 species
AACCAGCACCUCAAGUGGUCAGGAGGAUUAUUGGGCCUAAAGCAUCCGUAGCCGGCUCUGUUAGUUUUUGGUUAAAUCCAUGUGCUUAACACAUGGGCCGCCGAAAAUACUGCACAGCUAGGGAGUGGGAGAGGUAGGCGGUACUCAGUAGGAAGGGGUAAAAUCCUUUGAUCUAUUGAUGACCACCUGUGGCGAAGGCGGUCUACCAGAACACGUUCGACACUGAGGUGCGAAAGCGUGGGGAGCAAACAGG